CGAUUCCUCCUCGAUCACAACCACAACGUGGGCAGGAGCGGACGGGGCGGAGCCGCGGGGGCCGGGAGACGGGUGCUAGUAUAUAAACUUGUAAUUGGCUCUGGCUCCCGGCUCCGGGCACUGGGCGAUGUUUCCAACCAGAUGGAUUGUGAGGCCCGGCAGCUCCCUAGUCCCUUUUCUUCCCCCUCCUCCCAGCGUCCCCUCGCUGCCCAAGCCCCACCCUUCGGCCUUCGCAAGUCUACCAAAAUUUCUCUUUCCAGUCCUCCCCUGCAUGACGGAUGGCACCCAGAAGGCACUAUUAUUUGAAAAUGGAAGGUUUGGCGAACGAUUAAUAGUGUGAACAAGAUGUCAGGAAGCCCAGCCUCCUCUCAUGGAUUCUCUGGCAUUUUAGAAGCACGUGUUUACAAACAACAACCAUGUCCAUC
rnacentral:lncRNA from 1 species